AUCUACGGCCACACCACCUUGAACGCGCCCGAUCUCGUCUGAUCUCGGAAGCUAAGCAGGGUCGGGCCCGGUUAGUACUUGGAUGGGAGAUCGCCUGGGAAUACCGGGUGCCGUGGGCU
rnacentral:rRNA from 1 species